CGCCUGGGGAGUACGGGUGAGGUAACGGCUCACCAAGGCGACGACGGGUAGCCGGCCUGAGAGGGUGACCGGCCACACUGGGACUGAGACACGGCCCAGACUCCUACGGGAGGCAGCAGUGGGGAAUAUUGCACAAUGGGCGCAAGCCUGAUGCAGCAACGCCGCGUGAGGGAUGACGGCCUUCGGGUUGUAAACCUCUUUUAGCAGGGAAGAAGCGAAAGUGACAGUACCUGCAGAAAAAGCACCGGCUAACUACGUGCCAGCAGCCGCGGUAAUACGUAGGGUGCAAGCGUUGUCCGGAAUUAUUGGGCGUAAAGAGCUCGUAGGCGGUUUGUCACGUCUGCUGUGAAAAUCCAAGGCUCAACCUUGGACUUGCAGUGGGUACGGGCAGGCUAGAGUGCGGUAGGGGAGAUGGGAAUUCCUGGUGUAGCGGUGGAAUGCGCAGAUAUCAGGAGAAACACCAAUGGCGAAGGCACAUCUCUGGGCCGUAACUGACGCUGAGGAGCGAAAGCGUGGGUAGCAAACAGGAUUAGAUACCCUGGUAGUCCACGCCGUAAACGUUGGGCACUAGGUGUGGGUCUCAACCAACGAGAUCCGCGCCGUCGCUAACGCAUUAAGUGCCCCGCCUGGGGAGUAC
rnacentral:rRNA from 1 species